CUGCGGAGGGUCAUUACAGAGUUCUCGCCCCUCGCGGGUAGAUCUCCCACCCACUGUUAUCGCUACCGUCGUUUCUUUGGCGGGCCGCUGGGCCCUGCCCGGCCGCCGGCUCCGGCUGGCGCGCGCCCGCCAGAGACCCCCCAAACUCUGAAUGUUAGUGUCGUCUGAGUACUAUACAAUAGUUAAAACUUUCAACAACGGAUCUCUUGGUUCUGGCAUCGAUGAAGAACGCAGCGAAAUGCGAUAAGUAAUGCGAAUUGCAGAAUUCAGUGAGUCAUCGAAUCUUUGAACGCACAUUGCGCCCUGUGGUAUUCCGCAGGGCAUGCCUGUUCGAGCGUCAUUUCAACCCUCAAGCUCUGCUUGGUGUUGGGCCCAGCCCGUCGCGGCCGGCCCCAAAGACAGUGGCGGCGCCGUCGGGCCCUAAGCGUAGUACAUCUCUCGCUCUAGGGCCCCGUGGUGGCUUGCCAGCAACCCCAACUCCUAUGGUUGACCUCGGAUCAGGUAGGGAUACCCGCUGAACUUAAGCAUAUCAAUAAGCGGAGGAAAAGAAACCAACAGGGAUUGCCUCAGUAACGGCGAGUGAAGCGGCAACAGCUCAAAUUUGAAAUCUGGCCCUCUCAGGGUCCGAGUUGUAAUUUGGAGAAGAUGCUUCGGGUGUGGCCCCGGUCUAAGUUCCUUGGAACAGGACGUCACAGAGGGUGAGAAUCCCGUACGUGACCGGUGGCCGCCCCCGUGUGAAGCUCUUUC
rnacentral:rRNA from 1 species